rnacentral:lncRNA from 1 species
GCUUUUUAAACAUACAAAACAAGGAAACAUAAAGUACAUAACAGGAGCCUAAAAUCCCUAGAAACCCCAAAAGUAAGAAAGAAGAGAAGAACACGCAUCAAAAUCAAAUGGCCUCCAAUUCAAACCGUCAUCUGCGCUCAACAGCCGACUAGCAUUGAUACCCUUUUCAAAACCUGUGCUAACUCCUAUCGCCGUCAUAAUCCAUAGGCCCUCUAUACUGGCUCCACUCGUCGAUCGCCUAAACUUGCCUUAAAGCAACACGACGUUGAACGAGAGGGAGAAAAUUUGACACCCACCACGGUGGAGCUGACUUCAUCCUUCCCGGCCACCCAUCGAUCCAGAGCAUGUUAAGAGACGAGGAAAAAGGAGAUCACUAGCUCUUUCCAGAGUAGAAAUGCCUUUUAUCGCAUGGCAAGUUCCUGGGAAGAGUAGAUUUUGCCUUCUUAAAAAACAUCCAUCCGCACAAAACCACCCCCAAGUCCAUUUCUUGGAGGAGCGUGCUGCACUGUGUUUCAAGCCACAAAAAACAUAAAGCAUAAAAUUAUGUUUUUUCCCGACUUGCGACGCAGCAAACCGUGU